rnacentral:lncRNA from 1 species
GUUGUAGGUGGAUUAAUAUUUUCCUGUUCAAACUAUUUCCAUGUGAUCCUCCAUGGUGGUGUUGGCAAGAAUGGAUCUACUAUUGCGGGCACCAGUGUCUUGUCACCUGGACUCCACAUAGGAUUAAUUAUUAUAUUGGCAAUAAUGAUCUAUAAAAAAUCUGCAACAAAUGUGUUUGAAAAACACCCUUGCCUUUAUACAUUAAUGUUUGGAUGUGUCUUUGCUAAAGUUGCACAAAAAUUGGUGAUAGCUCACAUGACAAAAAGUGAACUAUAUCUUCAAGACACUGUUUUUAUUGGGCCAGGUCUUUUAUUUUUAGACCAAUACUUUAAUAAUUUUAUAGAUGAAUAUGUUGUUCUAUGGAUAGCAAUGGUCAUUACUUCAUUUGAUAUGAUGAUAUACUUUAGUUCUUUGUGCCUGCAAAUUUCAAGACACCUUCAUCUAAGUAUCUUCAAGACUUCAUAUCAACAAGCACCUGAACAGGUUCAAGUUCUUUCUUCAAAGACUCAUCAGAAUAACAUGGAUUGAAGAGACUUUCGAACAUUUGCCAUCUCUUGCUGCUGCUGUUUCAUGAAAGGAGAUAUGAAACAUGUUUAAUUUU